CCUUCGAUAGCUCAGUUGGUAGAGCGGAGGACUGAAGAAGUUGUGAUGGUUAUCCAUACGUCGCUGUUCGAAUCCGGCUCGAAGGA
rnacentral:tRNA from 1 species